rnacentral:piRNA from 1 species
UGCCAUGUGUGAAUGGAUCUGGAGGUU